rnacentral:lncRNA from 1 species
ACCAGCCUCUCUGAAUUCUUCAGGUCGCUUUAUGAUCCAGGUUUAAACCUCUCUUGCAGAUUGUCUCUGGAAACUGCGAAAUCUGACCAGAAGGCCCUUAGCCUCCCAGGCUCUGUAGCUUCUGCAGUGAUGAGGCCUGACCACCAGAUGGCUCCACAGAGGCCACUGCUCUCUCAGGGAAGAGGAGGCUGGGAAGAUCCAGGGGAGGACAUGGAAUUGGAUUUUCACCUGGGGAAGCUCUGACAGACUUUACCACAGUGUAAGGAAACUUCAUGGGAAAUAGAUGGGGAAACAGUGGAAACAGUGUCAGACUUUAUUUUUGGGGGCUCCAAAAUCACUGCAGAUGGUGAUUUCAGCCAUGAAUUUAAAAGACGCU